GUAUUAAUGAGUUUUAGUGUAAAUGGCUCUUACAGGUGACUCCAGCCUUUCAAAGUAACAAUCCCUCGAAGCGACUGUCCAGGCCUCUAAAGCCAUCCCAGCUAACAAGUUGGUGAAGCCCUGGCUUUCCAGGAAGCAGCUGAACUAUAAGGAAUCAGUUUGUAACAUCAGCUGUAACAUGGCUAACAUCAGCGGUGUGCAGCUUAGUUCCAGCACGAACAGCACAAAUCUGCCGCUCCAUAGUUCACGGUAACGGACUCACAGCUGGACCAACCAGGCGGAGUGUGUCCGCCAUCAUGAACUACGUUUGUGUUUGUGUACUUAUAGUUUGUACUUUGUAAGUUCACUCAGAGUCCACAGAGGAUGCAGCGUACGUGAUGAUGUCACAGCCCUUUACCUCCUUUACUGUCACUGUGAUUAAUAUUUACACACCAGACACCUGCAGAGGUCUGACGCUAAGCUAGCCAGACAGCAUGCUAAUGCUAAGUGAACUGAUGAAAGCUGUGUCUCAGAUGGAGUGGAUGUUAGUCCAACACAUCAGACAUGACCUCUGCAGCUCUCGAUGUGCACAUGAAGGAUCAGUGUGAAGACAGAGAGGAGGGAGUCCCUCCCUCUAAAACCACUCUGUGUGGGGAAUAUGAGAGCCAGACCAAAGCUCAGAGGUGAGAUGACCAUCUCUAACUGUCCAUGACGCUUCUCCAUGUCACAGCUCAGCACUCACAUCACUGCUCCAUCAUUAUUCACAGG
ensembl:lncRNA